rnacentral:lncRNA from 1 species
GAGAGGUGAGACUAGCAGUGUGUGGCCUGGGACAGGAGUAGAUAAAAGGCAGCCAUGGUGAGCCAGCGCCAUGAGGAGUGGCUGCCUCUUGAAUCCUGUCAGUCUCCGGCAGAUCCGAUUACAUCUGGGACCCUUAAGAGUACUUGAAGCAAACGGCGCUGGUCUAUUUUAAUCCUGCUCCUUCUAGAAACUAGAAACUGUAAGGAGAGUCUUCCUGCUGACAGGUGGCUCCAUAAAAGUCGUCCAUCUGCUGCUAAUUAUGGCAGAAAGAAAAUUCACAGAGCCGAGUUUUCAGUUUAUUUGCUAAAGAUCUCCAAAGGUGUAACUGUCUUCCCAGAUCACAAGGCCAUUCACAGCGUUACAUCUAUAGCGCUUGUUAAUUAUUUAAAUAAUUU